UACGUAGGGACCAAGCGUUGUUCGGAUUUACUGGGCGUAAAGGGCGCGUAGGCGGCAAUUCAAGUCAUCUGUGAAAUCUCCGGGCUUAACCCGGAACGGUCAGAUGAUACUGCUUUGCUAGAGUACGGAAGGGGCAAUCGGAAUUCUUGGUGUAGCGGUGAAAUGCGUAGAUAUCAAGAGGAACACCUGAGGUGAAGACGGGUUGCUGGGCCGACACUGACACUGAGGCACGAAAGCGUGGGGAGCAAACAGG
rnacentral:rRNA from 1 species